ACUGAGGUAGCUUAAGCGGUCAAAGCGCACCUCUCAUAAGGGUGAGACUGCUGGUUCGAGACCGGCUCUUGGUA
rnacentral:tRNA from 1 species